GACGAACGCUGGCGGCGUGCUUAACACAUGCAAGUCGAACGGUGAACCAGAGCUUGCUCUGGGGAUCAGUGGCGAACGGGUGAGUUAACACGUUGGGCAACCUGCCCCAGACUCUGGGGAUAACCUCGGGGAAACCGAUGCUAAUACCGGAUACGACCACUUCGGACAUCCGACGGUGUGGAAAGUUUUUCGGUCUGGGAUGGGCCCGCGGCCUAUCAGCUAGUUGUGGGGUAAUGGCCUACCAAGGCGACGACGGGUAGCCGGCCUGAGAGGGCGACCGGCCACACUGGAACUGAGACACGGUCCAGACUCCUACGGGAGGCAGCAGUGGGGAAUAUUGCACAAUGGGCGAAAGCCUGAUGCAGCGACGCCGCGUGAGGGGACG
rnacentral:rRNA from 1 species